AUUGAACGCUGGCGGCAGGCCUAACACAUGCAAGUCGAACGAGUGGCGGACGGGUGAGUAAUGUCUGGGAAACUGCCUGAUGGAGGGGGAUAACUAUUGGAAACGGUAGCUAAUACCGCAUAAUAUCAGAUGUGCCCAGAUGGGAUGAGCUAGUUGGCGGGGUAACGGCGCACCAAGGCGACGAUCCCUAGCCGGUCUGAGAGGAUGACCAGCCAAACUGGGACUGAGACACGGUCCAGACUCCUACGGUAGGCAGCAGUGGGGAAUAUUGCACAAUGGGCGCAAGCCUGAUGCAGCCAUGCCGCGUGUAUGAAGAAGGCCUUCGGGUUGUAAAGUACUUUCAGCGGGGAGGCGUUACCCGCAGAAGAAGCACCGGCUAACUCCGUGCCAGCAGCCGCGGUAAUUC
rnacentral:rRNA from 1 species